rnacentral:rRNA from 1 species
UGUGUAGGCGGUUGUUUAAGUUUGGUGUGAAAUCUCCCGGCUUAACUGGGAGGGUGCGCCGAAUACUGAAUGACUAGAGUGCGGGAGAGGUGAGUGGAAUUCCUGGUGUAGCGGUGAAAUGCGUAGAUAUCAGGAGGAACACCGGCGGUGUAGACGGCUCACUGGACCGUAACUGACGCUGAGACACGAAAGCGUGGGUAGCAAACAGGAUUAGAUACCCUGGUAGUCCACGCCCUAAACGAUGCAUAUUUGGUGUGGGUCAUUCAGUUGAUCCGUGCCGGAGCUAACGCGUUAAAUAUGCCGCCUGGGGAGUACAGUCGCAAGGCUGAA